GACGAACGCUGGCGGCGUGCUUAACACAUGCAAGUCGAACGGUAAGGCCCUUCGGGGUACACGAGUGGCGAACGGGUGAGCAACACGUGGGUGAUCUGCCCUGCACUUCGGGAUAAGCCUGGGAAACUGGGUCUAAUACCGGAUAGGACCACUGCCUGCAUGGGUGGUGGUGGAAAGCUUUUGCGGUGUGGAAUGGGCCCGCGGCCUAUCAGCUUGUUGGUGGGGUGAUGGCCUACCAAGGCGACGACGGGUAGCCGGCCUGAGAGGGUGACCGGCCACACUGGGACUGAGAUACGGCCCAGACUCCUACGGGAGGCAGCAGUGGGGAAUAUUGCACAAUGGGCGCAAGCCUGAUGCAGCGACGCCGCGUGAGGGAUGACGGCCUUCGGGUUGUAAACCUCUUUCAGCACCGACGAAGCGCAAGUGACGGUAGGUGCAGAAGAAGGACCGGCCAACUACGUGCCAGCAGCCGCGGUAA
rnacentral:rRNA from 1 species